CCUUCUCACGCUAAUGAAAGCCCUUACAGCACUGCGAGAGCCUUUCCUUCCCCUAUACGGAAGGAUACUCUAUUUGGUCAAAGUCACUUUACAGAAGAGACCAAGUCGUUUACUUCAUAUUUGUGACUCUUGCCAACAAUUGAUUCUUUAACUGACACUUUACUCGAACCGCUUGCCAUAUCUAAACUAGCUACUGGCAAAUAGGGAAUUGAUUCAAGAUCCCCUUGCGCCCUACAGCCCGAAAGUUACUCUCUAUCAAAGCACCUGCGGUGGGCUAAGCGCAAGGAGUCUUAGAGU
rnacentral:lncRNA from 1 species